CCGGAGGGUCUCUAGGGUUCAUUAUAACGAUCACGGGUGGGCUGAAGAAGAGCAGAUCUAUCGCUUUUAUUGCGACCAAUCCAUUGGCGGAGCAUGUGGAGAGUAGGCAUCAUAGUAAAGGAGGGUUUUGGAAGAAGUUGAUUAGAUCGGCGGGGAAGGGGACGAAGAAGGUUCUCAUGCAUUCAAGAACCGUUAGACAAAAACUCAAGAUGAUCUGCAGUUCUAGACAAUCAUGGAUUUAGAUUAUCACACUAUAUAUACACA
rnacentral:lncRNA from 1 species